ensembl:lncRNA
GGGAGACAGUAAACAGACUGGCCAAGAGACAUGACUUCAUCAAAACUCUGACUCUUGUGGAAUUUAACGGUUCGGAGAGCAGCACUUUGAGUCAUCGCACACCUUCAGGGAUCCACUUAGGAGAACGAGGUAAAACUUGAACUUUGUGGAAUAUGUUCUGAAAAAAUGGCAUCACACUAAAAUGUUCUGUAUGAGGGGAAAGGAAGACUAUGAAUUUUUAUUGUCCUUUGAAUUAAAUUGGCAUGUGAGUCAUCAUCCAGGCAAAACAACAUUAAGCCCUACCUCUUCCUUUCAAGAAAAAUUUUCCACGUCCUCCAGUUGAAGUCCCUUCUACUUUUUCAUGAAGAUUCCAGAGUGGCCAUCCUAAGUCCCGCAGGUGGCAUGUUUUCCAAAAUAUCCAGCUCUCCAGUAACACAAAAACCCAUUAAAUCAGACUCCUUUAGCAGAGCAGAAGGAUAUGAAAGUCAGGUGCAUCUGGAGAAGUGCUUUUCUCCUGCUGCUAUGCAGAUCAGCCAAAAACUAUACAUACGAAAUCUCAGAGAAAUGGAUGAAGUUAAGAAGAUACUCAAGUCUCAGUGAGUAGUAAACACUAUAACGUGAUGGAAAGCACAGCAAUAGCAGCAGGGUGGCAACAUCUUCGACUGCAGCAAGCACCAAUGCAGCAGCCAUGGACACAGAAAUGAAGUAAAAGAGCUGCUUACCUUUGAAAGACCUCAAGCACACAAGAGAUCUCCAGAGAGAUCCCCUUACCUCCAAUGCCAACCCUUAAAUGAGGUCUGGGAAGGGACGGAUCCUGACUCCACCCCUUCUGGUCACUGAGGUGCACUGCAUGCAGCUGAGCUCCCCUAGGUUGACCCUGCCUUCCCACCAGGUGCUCAAUCAUUGCUUCAAGCUGUGACAGCAUUUCCACUACAGCAUCCCAAAACAACUUCCUGAAGCAGUAGGUUCCAAAGCA